UUUUCGGUAGUGAAAAAGGGGCUUUUUGACUUUCCAGAACCAUCAAAUCAUCAUAUCACUUUCUCUUUCUCUUACCUCUUCCUCUUUCCCAUUUCUUCAACCCAAUCUUGAAGACAAAGAAUGAACACUCUUCAAAAUCAGGAGAAAUAAACAACCACCACCAGCAACCACCUCCUCCGGCGAAACUCACCAGGCUUCUUCUCCGGCUCUCUCUCUCCUUAAUCUUUAGAAGCUAAUGAAGGGUCUGAAUGUUGUUUUAGAGAGAGAGAACGAUGACAACAAUCUUCAUCAUGUUCAUCUAUAACACCAAGAACACACAUACAAGUGAGAGAGAGAGAGAGAGAGAGGAAGUUUGAACACACAUACAGACGACUCGGGUCAGAUUCAUGUUCAGAUCCAUAAAGAUAUUCAAUUGACAAGCUGGAUGGAUGUAGGCGACGUUAAUGCGGGGACAUUGAAUAAGUCAAAUCUUCUGGGAAAGAAGUUUUCGUUCAUUUAUAACAUGUGU
rnacentral:lncRNA from 1 species